ensembl:lincRNA A430110L20Rik RIKEN cDNA A430110L20 gene
UCUUAACCACUGAGCCAUCUCUCCAGCCCAAAUAUUAAUAUCUUUAAUAAUCACAGUUACCCUCAUAAGAUAGGCCAGUUAACACUAUUCUUUGAAAAGGAAUUAUGUGUAUGUAUCUGUGUGAGAGUAUGCCACAUAUUUUGUGGUGCCUAGAAUAGGGUGCUGGACCUCCUGGGGCUGAAGUUACAGGCAGUUGUGAGCUAUGUGACAUGAGUACUGGGAACUGAACUCAGAUCUUCUGCAAAGGCAGCAAGAGCCCUCAACCACUGAGUCUCUCCAUCUCCCAAUAGUCCUCAUUUAAAACAGUUCUUAUUUUAUCUGCGUCUGUGUGAGGGUGUUGCAUCCUCUAAAGCUGGAGUUACAGACAGUUGUGAGCUGCCAUGUGGGUGCUGGGAAUUGUACCCUGGUUCUUUCAGAGGACACAUAGUGCUCUUAACCACUGAGCCAUCUCCCCAGACCCCCUUCUUCAUUUUUUUUUUUAAAUGAGGGCAGAAACUGCACCUUAAGACUAAUGACCAAAUCACAUAACUCAUAAGUGGCAACACCAGUGUUCAAACCCGAGGUGGCAGGUCCCAGAACCUGUGCUGCCCAAAUUGGAUGACCUUGCAUGGUAGAUGGUAGCUGCAGAUGGAGACCAGAGGACAAGGGAGGGAUUCAAGGAUUCCUGCGGUGUCUGCACAGCCAGCAUGCUCUGCUUGCUCUGAACUUAGUUAGCGGGUGUGAGGUGUCUCGUGGGGACUGUUGGGAAUGCCUUGCACCUUGCAUUGCGCUGAGGCUGUACACAGGUCUAAGAGCGACUUUAUACACUAAGGUCAAGAGAAGGUGAGGUAAUCCUAGCUUAAUCGUUAGGUCAAAUUGACAGGAGAAGUAUAACAUCCAUUGAUUUAUCAGUUUUAUCACCUUAAGAUUUCCUUGAACUAACUGGAAACUGACUUCUGGUCUUUUGUCUCUCUGAGGUUACAAGCGUGUCUAUAUUUAGAUCAAUAGUCACGCUUCUGUGGUGAUGGACCAGUGUGUGCCUCCAGAAACGGCUGUGAGCUGAAACCGCAUGUGUGUCCUUAGCAGAGAAGUCAACGGCUCUGUAGGUCUGCAUACCCUCGCCAGAGGGACUCUGCACAGACUCGCUUAGUAAGCAGAUAAACAAACUUUGUGCUCGCACAUAGCCGGCCGCUAGGCCAGCCUCCACUCGUUCACGGGAGCCAGGGGCCUCCUGUUUAGCUCCAGACCCAGCUCUUUUCUCCUGUCACCAUUGCCAUUAAUAUUUUGCUUUUUUUUUCCCCCUCCCAAUCUGGAUUAGAUGACAGCCUCCUAAAUGCUUUGUGCUGUUUCCUAACUAGUUGCCUUUACUGCUACCAAGAUCAUUAUAGUAAGGAAUAAAAACAGUAUCACUUGGAAGUGUUUUGGAUGGUUCUCUGUACAUAUAAGCCACAAUCCAAUAUCCAGAGACUUAGAAGUUGGCCUCUUUUUUAUGGCCCUCUAUCCCUCACACCAGCUACCCCAGAUCUCCUGCUUUCAGAGUGCUUUCAUAGUCUGUGCAUCUGUUGUGAUUUUCCUCACAUGACCAUUCCUAAAUCCCCAUGGAGGUUGUCCUCAGAAUCAUCUUGGGAAGAAGCGGUUUUCUUACCCUACCAAGCUCUGCCUUUGAGGAAGGCCUUACUGCAGUCUCGGUCCACCACAGGUACCUGGCAGGCAUUUGCCAAAUGGAUUCUUCUCUCCACCCAACUCUCAGUCCAACUCCAACCAAUGUCUAAAGCACUUGCCGUAUGUCUAAGGUGCUGUUCUAGGCCCUGGAACUAUGUGGUGAACAAGACAGACUCCUAUGGAGUUCCUAUGAAACUUAUAUUUUUAUACGCUCACAUCACUGUAAAUGCUCAUUUUAGAUUCUGUCUUCUAAGGAAGACCCAAAAUAAAAAAGAAAGAAACAGGAAAUAAAUCACAUGGCGCGCAGUGCUAAGCCGAGACUUUAAGUUGGGUCCCAUGACGCAGAUGCUUUCUUUGUGUUGGGUGGUUAGGUAGGGCCUCUCUGAGGGGCAUCCUGAAGGCUGAGAUCUGCAUCAGCUGCUCUCAAGAUCGGGCAGAGAGCAUGCCAGGCAGGGGAGACUACACAGAGGCUUUAGAGAAAGCACAACCCAGCUUUUAGAACAAGCACGCUAGUUAGCUGAAAGACACGCAGGAACAGAGCAGAGUGAGAAAACGCCUCUAGGGCGCUGAGAAGCGAACACGUGGACUGCAGUUGGUUUGAGGACCAAAGGUAAUCAUUCCUUAAAACGCUGCAUUCUUGCUGGCAGCUGCUAAUAGCAACAUAAAAAGGCCCUGUUGUUCCUAACUGAUGCACAAACGCUCUCAGGAAUGAGGUUCCGCAUGCCCGCUUCUUCCUGUCACUUGCAGCCAAGUCAUCGUGUCGGAAAGGCCGGUGUGAAGAAGGUACCUGAUUUUGAUUCACACGAGUUCCCAUCAUCCCUUGGGCCUUUAUUUUGCCUAAGAUCCAUGAUUAAUAAAGCCACGAGAAAACAAA